rnacentral:rRNA from 1 species
AGGACGAACGCUGGCGGCGUGCUUAACACAUGCAAGUGGAGCGACGAACCAGGGCUUGCCCUGGGGCAGAGCCGCGAACGGGUGAGUAACACGUGGGUUACCUGCCUCGAUGACCGGGACAACCCGAGGAAAACUCGGGCUAAUACCGGAUGUGCCCGCAAGGGGAAAGGAAGCUUCGGCCUCCGCAUCGAGAUGGGCCCGCGGCCCAUUAGCUUGUUGGUGAGGUAACGGCUUACCAAGGCUUCGAUGGGUAGCUGGUCUGAGAGGACGAUCAGCCACACUGGGACUGAGACACGGCCCAGACUCCUACGGGAGGCAGCAGUGGGGAAUCUUGCGCAAUGCGCGAAAGCGUGACGCAGCAACGCCGCGUGGGGGAAGAAGGCUUUCGGGUUGUAAACCCCUUUCAGCAGGGCGAUUGUGACGGUACCUGCAGAAGAAGCACCGGCAACUACGUGCCAGCAGCCGC